CCUUUUGGCUAGAUCAAGUGUAGUAUCUGUUCUUAUCAGUUUAAUAUCUGAUACGUCCCCCAUCGGGGGACUACAUAUUAAAUGGAUUUUUCGAACAGGGAGUCGGAAAUGGGGCUUGCUCCGUCCGCUCCACGCAUCGACCCGGUAUUGCAGUACCUCCGGGAACGGUGCAACACUU
rnacentral:snRNA from 8 species